AACGAACGCUGGCGGCGUACUUAACACAUGCAAGUCGUACGAGAAAGGAGACUUCGGUCUCUGAGUAAAGUGGCGUACGGGUGCGUAACACGUAAGUAAUCUACCCCGAACUCUGGGAUAACUCUCCGAAAGGAGGGCUAAUACUGGAUAGGGUCCCUGAGGUGUAGGCUGCAGGGGGAAAACGGGCCUCUGUUUCAUGCUCGUGGUUUGGGAUGAGCUUGCGGCCCAUUAGCUUGUUGGAGGGUAAUGGCCUACCAAGGCAACGAUGGGUAGCUGGUCUGAGAGGAUGAUCAGCCACAUUGGGACUGAGACACGGCCCAAACUCCUACGGGAGGCAGCAGUGGGGAAUAUUGGACAAUGGGCGAAAGCCUGAUCCAGCCAUGCCGCGUGAGUGAUGAAGGCCUUAGGGUUGUAAAG
rnacentral:rRNA from 1 species